rnacentral:rRNA from 1 species
UACAGAGGUCUCAAGCGUUUGUUCGGAUUCAUUGGGCGUAAAGGGUGCGUAGGCGGCGCGGUAAGUCGGGUGUGAAAUCUCGGAGCUUAACUCCGAAACUGCAUUCGAUACUGCCGUGCUUGAGGACUGGAGAGGAGACUGGAAUUUACGGUGUAGCGGUGAAAUGCGUAGAUAUCGUAAGGAAGACCAGUGGCGAAGGCGGGUCUCUGGACAGUUCCUGACGCUGGAGGCACGAAGGCCAGGGGGAGCAAAACGGGG